rnacentral:misc_RNA from 1 species
AGUAAUCAUGCAGACCAGGUCUGGGGAGUAGCAUUUCGGCCACCUGGAGGGACUGGUGUUCGCACUGGUCGGCUUGCUAGUGUAUCAGACGACAAAAGUAUAUCACUGUAUGAUUAUUCCUGAACAUACAUGGUAUGUUGGGUUUAAAAGCAUCAAGGAUCUGUUUGUGUUGCAAGAUUCACUUCUGCUUUUAUUGUUAUUUAUCACUGAU